CCAUUCAGACAUUAUACAAAUGACACAUCACCAACCAAAAGAAUGCUCAAAUUCAGACUUAAAAGGGAGAACAGGUAGGACAAACAUCAUUGAGACCGAACCUUGGAUUUUACUUGCCAAAAACAAUGGAAUGCUUCCUCCACCAUGCCCAAUGCAUAAAAUUUUCAUUGGUUUUCUCCCAUAAACUGCACUUUCAAGAUCAAAUUUGCAAGAUGCUAUUGUAGCCAAGCCAGCAGAGACCAUGCUUUUCACAUCUGUAGAGGAGAUGAUACGAAAGAUGCAGCAUAAAAAUUGUGAAAGAAUGGUCAUCAUUGAGGAGAACUGAGGGAUCUAAAAUGAGAAAAGUGUCUCAUACUCUUUACCAUCUUAGUUUUAUUUUCAAUAUCAGCAGCUCAACAGCAGAAGUUUAUAGUAGAAAAAUAUUCAUGCUUAUUUGCUCUUCUAAUCGCUUGAUUUGCC
rnacentral:lncRNA from 1 species